AUCUGCCUUGUACAGAGGGAUAGCCCAGAGAAAUUUGGAUUAAUACCUCAUAGUAUUACUGAAUCGCAUGAUUCGGUAAUUAAAGCUCCGGCGGUACAAGAUGAACAUGCGUGACAUUAGCUAGUUGGUAAGGUAACGGCUUACCAAGGCAACGAUGUCUAGGGGUUCUGAGAGGAUGAUCCCCCACACUGGUACUGAGACACGGACCAGACUCCUACGGGAGGCAGCAGUGAGGAAUAUUGGUCAAUGGACGCAAGUCUGAACCAGCCAUCCCGCGUGAAGGAUGACUGCCCUAUGGGUUGUAAACUUCUUUUAUAUGCAAAUAAACCUACUUUCGUGAAAGUACCUGAAGGUUGCAUAUGAAUAAACACCCGGCUA
rnacentral:rRNA from 1 species